rnacentral:rRNA from 1 species
UACGUAGGGAGCGAGCGUUGUCCGGAAUUACUGGGUGUAAAGGGAGUGUAGGCGGGACGGUAAGUCAGGUGUGAAAUUUAUGGGCUCAACUCAUAAACUGCACUUGAAACUGCUGUUCUUGAGUGAAGUAGAGGUUGGCGGAAUUCCUAGUGUAGCGGUGAAAUGCGUAGAUAUUAGGAGGAACAUCAGUGGCGAAGGCGGCCAACUGGGCUUUUACUGACGCUGAGGCUCGAAAGCGUGGGGAGCAAACAGG